UGCCCAUUCACUACUGAUGCUAUGUGCACCCAGCAGGCACCGGCUUUGAGGGAACAGCGGAAAGUGGAUGUGGUGGUAAUAGAGAUUUUCAGCUGAGACCAGAUGCUGAACCGCAAACUUAAGGCUGCAUGCUCUAAGUUCUGCCGUGGCAAGUCACGCAAGCCCACAGCCGGUGACUCAGACCCCUGUCACCUAAGAGUAAAGCUGCUGCUGUGGCUCAGUGUGGCCAGAGGCCCUGGGGCCUCACUGGUCCUGGAGCUGGGAGGGAAGGUGGAAACUCCUUUGGCCUGGCUGGAGCCGACCACAGGCGUUCCCUUCCCCCCAAGCACUUGCCUGGGGCUCAAAGCUGGGAGGAGGUGAUGGCUUCUCGGGAAUGGAGGCUUGAGUCACAGCCCUGAAGAGGCCACUGCAGCUUUGCAGGAAAAGACUUCUCUGCAAGGACACCAGCUCAGCACCCUGCUGCUCAGCCUGAGUGGCAUCACCCUUGCUCACUUUCAUGAUAACUGUUUAAAAAUAGUUUAUAUUGUCCUCAUUCUAGCUCAAGAGCUCAGGGACUCUGACAAGAUGAAGAGUGGAGAUGGGUUGGGCUUGGUGGUACAUACCUUUAAUUCCAGCACUGGGAGGCCGGUGUAUCUCUGAGUUCAAGACCAGCCUGGUCUACACAGUGACUUCCAGGUCAGCCAGAACCACAUGGAGACUCAGUCUCAAACAAACACACAACUUUCCACUAGGCCAGUGAGAAAGUUAAGUGGCGGAGGCACUUGCUGUCAGGCCUAAGGCCUUGAAUUCAACCCUCAGGACUCAAUGGCAGGAAAGAAUCAGGUGAAUCAGUUCAGGCAAGUUGUUCUCUGACUUGUGGGAGUCAACAGGGUCCCCUGGAGGCCAGCCAGGCUGGGGUCUCUUGCUUACGGAGACAAUUAGGUCGGGGGCUGGCAAUGGCUAUGGUGUGUGUGGGGGGCUGCUCUGCUCUCACUGGGACUAGUUGCUGCGGCUCUUUUUCUGGGUCUCUCCCUGACACUCUUUAAUAAGCCCACUCCUGCUGAAGCCGCCAUGGCUCCGGUCUGCCAGGUGCAGCAGGCACAGCCUACGGGGAAGAAGCUGUAAUUCUUGUGAGUCGGGGGAACUCACCCGGCCCAGCACCCUGCUUCAUCAAGAGCUGGGGCUCUGAGCUGAGGCCAGUUACAGCCGGUUGUCCCGAGGCACCUGCCAGCUCCCUCCCACUGGAGCGCUGGAGUGAAGGCUGUGGUUCCUUCUUAAAAAGAGAAGACUCAAGAAAGAAAAAAAGGUAAACAAACAAAAAUACCACAAGAGAGAGAGAGAGAGAAGACUCCUGUCCAGUCCCACGUGGUCAUCCCGGACACACGUACAUAGACUCAGAGUGAAAUGGACUCAGUGGAUUAUUUGUAUGUGUGUGCAUAUAUGCAUACACACACAUUAAAUAUACAUGCAACAAUAAUAAAGAAGAGAUCACGGGUGUGGGAGGGGUAUGGGUGGAGCUGGGGGGUCCCAGCGCAGUAGGGGUCAUGUAGAUGCAUGUUCACGUAUGAGGUUCUCAGUGGGAUAAAAUCAACAAAGGAGACCCGGGGAAGAAGAGGCUGACAGGCCCCUCAUUGGCCACCAGGGAAGUGGUCAAGAAACAAUGGCCCCACUCAUGCUCACCAGGGUGGCUAUGGUCUAAAAACAGGGGGACGUGUGUUGCUGAGGAUAAGAGGGGCCUGGCAGCCUCAUGGAUCCCCGGACAGAGUUAAAUUAAGUACAGUUAGCACAGCCAUCAGUUCUGGGAGAGGACGUGGCUCACCUGGGAAGGCGCCUGUCUGUGCUGCUCGGGGCCACCUUCAGUCCCAGCUCCCCUACUCCUAGCGCGUGGGAGGUGGCGUCAGGAGGACUGGGACAUUCAACUGGAGCUCCAUGAGUCCCUAUCUCAAAAACAAAGGGACAGACAACCAGCCAAAACCCAAACCAGAAAAAACAAAAUAUCCAAGGGAAAAGAAUGAAGCGAUUUUGAACUUGGCAGACGGAUGGUAGUGGGUACAGGUUAUACAUGCACACUGCCUGUCAUUCAAAUGAGCAGAAUUGAACACCUUAAGAGGUUUUUUUUUUUUUUUUAGUUUUAGGCGAUUUUACCUCUCUAUUUUAAGAUGUCACUGGGUCCCUAGAAAACAGCACAAACACUAUUUCCCAGAAGCACCAAUUUAUAGGUGCACAAGCUGCCCUCAUGUCCAUCGAAGGCUCCAGGAGAGCCCACUGCAGCAGCAGCAGCUGUCAGCUUCUUCUUUCUUCCUCAGCCUGAAGGGAGAGUAAGUCUUCCCUUAGGAGACAGAGAAAGCCAAGAGUCUGUGACUGCCUGGGUCACUCACCUCCUAGGUGUAGCCAAACCCUGUGAGCUGGUAGCCUCCUCUGGUGCCCACCCUUGCCUUCAACUUCUGCCAGUGUGCUCACCUGCUCCUUUCUUUGACUUUCCACCAGGGGGCAGUGAAGAGAGCCCUCUGCAUGGGGGCCCAAAAGCUUCAGUCUUUCCUAAAACCCCAAGGGUUGAGAUCCUAGGUAAGAGCAGCCAAGUUGGAUGCCCAGGAGUUACUCACAGGCUCUACUGCAUCUGCUCCAAUGUCAACAGUGUGGACACAGUGCUCUCUCUCUCUGUGUCUCUCUCUCUCUCUCUCUCUCUCUCUCUCUCUCUCUCUCUCUCUCUCUCUCUCUCACACACACACACACACACACACACACACACACACACACACACACACAUACAUCUAAGGAAACUGCCACGUACCACAGUUCAACUUCAGGCUUCUGGAGCCCUGAGCCUGCGUCCUGCCUAAGCCUUUGGAAUCCAGAAUGUGGGGUUUUCUCCUUGGAAAGUAAGAGCCCAGGCAGGUGAACACCACCGAGCCCACCAACACCAGCUCCGAGGCUCAGAAGGCCAACUCCUCAAGCUAUGCAGAGGAUUUUGUUGGUUCCUGCAGGAAAAACCCCCUCAGAUUAGGGUGAGAGUUAGCAGAUCCCGUGGCGCUUUGGCAGCUUCCAUGUUUCUGCCAGCAGUGGCUGCAGAGUGACGUGUGGAAAGGUGGCACAGCUGAGCUUUGGUUGGACAGUGGGUGAAAUGUCACACACAUCCUUUUAGAGCCAUGGUUUCCUGGCAGGGACAGAGUAUUCCUUUCAUACAGACAGGGGAUACCUAGUUUUUUACAGUCCUCUACAAAGGUCUGUCUCCCAACCCUGAGAGAAGAAGACCUGCUAGAGAAAUGGCGUUCCCAAGCCUGAUCUCCACUAGUUUUUCUCAGUCAUCUUCCUCUCUGACUGGACAUGCCGGGGAACACAACCCCAGCCCUUCACACUGUCCGUGUUAGACAGGCCCUGGCAGGGCUUGCAGAUGGCUCUGGGUGGGAGCGGCAUGCUUCCCUCUCUAGGCCUGCUGGAGAAGAGGCAGAGGUGGGUAGGGAACUUGGCCAGUAUCUCACAUGCCCCCCCACUCCCACCCCCG
ensembl:lncRNA